rnacentral:rRNA from 1 species
GUAACGAGCGCAACCCUUGUCCUUAGUUACCAGCACGUUAUGGUGGGCACUCUAAGGAGACUGCCGGUGACAAACCGGAGGAAGGUGGGGAUGACGUCAAGUCAUCAUGGCCCUUACGGCCUGGGCUACACACGUGCUACAAUGGUCGGUACAAAGGGUUGCCAAGCCGCGAGGUGGAGACUAAUCCCAUAAAACCGAUCGUAGUCCGGAUCGCAGUCUGCAACUCGACUGCGUGAAGUCGGAGUCGCUAGUAAUCGUGAAUCAGAAUGUCACGGUGAAUACGUUCCCGGGCCUU